rnacentral:rRNA from 1 species
UACGUAGGGGGGCGAGCGUUGUCCGGAUUUACUGGGCGUAAAGCGCGUGUAGGCGGCGGCUUAAGUCGGGUGUGAAAGCCCGGGGCUCAACCCCGGGAUGCCGCUCGAGACUGGGUCGCUUGAGGACGGAAGAGGGGCGUGGAAUUCCUGGUGUAGCGGUGAAAUGCGUAGAGAUCAGGAGGAACACCCCGUGGCGAAGGCGGCGCCCUGGUCCGUUACUGACGCUGAGACGCGAAA